UGUGUGCAGAACUGCAGCUGGCCCAGAGCGCAAUACAGCGAGGAGCCAGGGGUCGUCUGUGUUCACACAGGUGCUGACCACACUGGCCUUCCUGGCAACAGGGCCAUUCCAGUGGGAGCUGACUGAUCAGUCGGGAGUGUGCCAGUCAACCUUGCGCCGAGCCAUGCCAGCUGUGUGGGACAGAAUUAUCCAAAUGUCAUCUAGUGAGUGGGCGUGUC